rnacentral:rRNA from 1 species
AACGAACGCUGGCGGCAUGCCUAACACAUGCAAGUCGAACGAGACCUUCGGGUCUAGUGGCGCACGGGGGCGUAACGCGGGGGAACCUGCCCGUAGGUUCGGAAUAACUCCCCGAAAGGGGGGCUAAUACCGGAUAAUGUCUUCGAACCAAAGAUAUAUCGCCCUUGGUUGGGCCGGCGUUGGAUUAGCAAGUUGGUAGGGUAAAAGCCUCACAAGGCAACGAUCCAUAGCUGGGCUGAGAGGAAGAUCCGCCACACUGGGACUGAGACACGGCCCAGAAUACUAGGCGAGGGGGCAGAGGGUAAUACUGGCCAACGGGGUAAAUCCUGAUCCAGCAAUGCUGCGUGAGUGCUGAAGGCCUUAGGGUUGUAAAGCUCUUUUACCCGGGACGAUAAUGACGGUACCGGGAGAAUAAGCUCCGGCUAACUCCGUG